CACGUAGGGGGCUAGCGUUGUCCGGAAUCAUUGGGCGUAAAGCGCGUGUAGGCGGCUCGGUAAGUCCGCUGUGAAAGUCGGGGGCUCAACCCUCGGAUGCCGGUGGAUACUGUCGGGCUAGAGUACGGCAGAGGCGAGUGGAAUUCCUGGUGUAGCGGUGAAAUGCGCAGAUAUCAGGAGGAACACCAAUUGCGAAGGCAGCUCGCUGGGACGUUACUGACGCUGAGACGCGAAAGCGUGGGGAGCAAACAGG
rnacentral:rRNA from 1 species